rnacentral:lncRNA from 1 species
AUUUCCAUUAGUCUGUCUUCCAUCUCAAUUAUUUGUUCUUCUGCCUCCUGUAUUCUGCUCUUGGUUCCUUCCAGUGAAUUUUUUUAUUUCAAUUAUUGUAUUUUGCAAUUCUGCUUGCUUAAUCUUUAAAUAUUCUCUUUCUUUUCCCAGUGUUUCUUGUAAUUUAUCAAUCUUUGCCUCCAGUUUAUUUCCAAGAUCUUGAAUUAUCUUUACUAUCAUUAGUCUAAAGUCUUUUUCACGGAGAUUGGUAAUCUCCAGAUCACUUAGCUGUUUUUCUGGGGCUUUUUUGUUUGUUUGUUUUGCUUUUUAGGGCUGCUGAGGCAUAUGGAAGUUCCUAGUCUAGGGGUUGAAUCGAAGCUACAGCUGCUGGCCUACACUACAGCCACAGCAACAUGGGAUCUGAGCCACAUCCACGACCUACACCACAGCUCACGGCAACACCAGAUCCUCAACCCACAUCCUCAUGGAUCCUAGUCAGGUUCAUUAACUGCUGAGCCUUGAAGGAACUCCAUCUGGGGCUUUUUCUUUUUCCCUUAUCUGAGUCAUAAUUCUCUGCCUUUUCAUCUUGUAUAGAUUUUCAGCAUACCUCCUUUUUGCAAACAAUAGGGUUGUAGUCUCUCUUGCUUCUGAUGUGGCUCUCUUGCUACCUCCUUUGUGGCUGAAUUUGGCAUGGAAGCUUGGUACAGGUACAGGCUUCCUGAUGGGAGAGAUUGGUGUCUGCCCACUAGUAGGUGGAGCUGAUUCUUAUCCCUCUGAUGGGAGGGGCUUUGUCUCUGGGUAUGAUUAGAGGCAGCUGUGCCUGGGGUAGUCUUUAGGCAGCCUUUUGCUGAUGAGUAAGGCUAUGUUUCCCCCCCCCCCCCCAAAAAAAAUGGUUGUUUGGCCUGAGGUUUCUCAGUCCUGAUGGGUGGGGCCAGAUUUUUCCAAAAUGGCCACCUCUAGAGGAGUUCAUGCUGAUGCUUAUUCCCAAGAACUUUGCCUCCAAUAUCCUUCCCCCACAAGAAGCCAUAGUCACCCCUGUUUUCCCAGGAGAUCCUCCAAAAACAGUAGGCAAGUCUGACCCAGAUUCCUGUGGAGUCUCUGCUCUGCCUUGGGACCUAGAGCACAUGAAAGCCUGUGUGUGCCUUUCAAGCGUGGAGUCUCUGUUUUCCCCAGUCCAAUUGAGUUCCUGUACACAAGCUCCACUGGCCCUCAACACCCAGUGCUCCAGGGGCUCCUCCUCCCAAUGCCAGAUCCCCAGGUUUGGGAACAUGAUGUGGGGCUCAGAACUCUUACUACCAUGGGUAAGCCUCUGUGAUAUAGUUACUUUCCAGUCUGUGGGCCACCCACCUGGCAGGAUGGGGUUGCUCAUAUCAUGUAAUCGCCCCCAUGACCAUCUCCAUGUGUCCUCUUCUUUGUCUUUUGGAGUAGGAUAUCUUUUUUGAUAGUUUCUAUUUUGUUAAAGGUUGUUCAGCAGUUGGUUGUAAUUUUGUUGUUUUCACGAGAGAAGGUGAGCUCCAGUCCUUUUAUUCCACCAUCUUAAUUCAGUCUGAUGUUUCACUUUAAAGAACUAGAUUCUAGUAAAUACAUGUCAUUUCUCUAAAUUUGAUACUGAAAUCUAUUUCUAAUAAAAUAAUAAUAAUAGUGAGAGAUUGUUUCCCUUCAGGGAAACUUUUUAAAAGGCAUAGCAAAGCUCUUGUCACUAUAGGACAGGUUUAAAGUUCUACCAGAGGUUGGGCUUAUUAGAUGUUGAUGAUGUUGAUGGGUUGCUGGAUGUUAUAUUAAGUCUCAUGCUAGGUGAUUAAAGACAGCAUAGCACAGUGGUUAAGAGCAUGAUGCUAGAGUUCAGAUCCCAGUGUUGCCUUUUUACUACCUCUAUGACCUUGGGAAAAUUACUCAACCUGUCUGGACCUUAGUUUCAUAAUCUGAAAAAUGAGGAGAACAUUAUUUAGUAUUGUGGACUGAAUGUUUGUGUUCUCCCUAAAUUCAUAUGUUGAAGUCCUACCCCAGUGUGGUUAUACUUAGACGUGGGCUUCAAAGGGAUUAAUUAGGUUAAACAAAGUCCUACGGAUGAAGCCCUGAUUGAAUAGGAUUCGUGUCUUUUAAGAAGAGAUACCAGAGAAGUUUCCAUUGUGGCUCAGUGGAAAUGAAUCCAACUAGUAACCAUGAGGAUGAGGAUUCAAUCCCUGGCCUCACUUGGUGGGUUGGGGAUCCAGCAUUGCCAUGAGCUGUGAGGUCAGACUUUAGCCCCAGCUUUCUGUUAGCAAGAUGGUCAACAAGCAAGCUGGCCUAUCCAGCACCCUCUCCCAGGGAGCUGCCCUUUGAGAUGCAGAGUAAGUCCUUGUCUCCCU